UAUGGGGAAAUUUCAUCAGGAAAGCCCAGCCCCUAGGAGAUCGUUUGGGGCCUUGUUUUGUUGUGCAUUUUUAGCCCGGCCGAGUAUGUGUUCGUAAAAUUAAGGAUGCCAUUAAAUGAAACUAUACACGUUUUUAAUUAUAAAUAUCAAAACACAGACUUGGCAAAAUCGAUUGCUACCCUCACGCGAAAAGCAAGGACAACACAUCGAGUAACGCGAUCACAGAAAGCACGCAGACGGCGACAGUGAACGGAUGGCUCGCUAAUUAGCCUAGCAUCCUCCAUGGGCAGUCCAGUCUCCACUGUCUGCCAGGCGAACGGCUUCGUCCACCAUGCGAAACGCCUGGCCGUCUGUAAGACGCAGCGAUCGUGUGGGCGUUCCGUCACAGUGUGGUCCAGUAAAAUCAUCCAAAGGCAGCACCAAGCUUAGCGUAGAAGACCAACAGGAAGGAAUGUGCGGUACAGCCAGGCCACCUGGCAGUGGACGAACGAAGGAAGCUGUGACGAGCCUGAAAUUCACAACUGCUCCACAUUCUCCUUACCGCCCAGAGUUGGCUCCAUCCGAUUUCUGGUUGUACCCAAAAUUGAAAGGGACACUGAACGGACGACAUCUUUCUUCGGAUGGCGAAGCUGAAGCUGAUGUGCGUGAAUGGAUCCAAAACCAACUAGAAACUUUCGUCAUGGAUGGAAUGAAAAAAUGGAUAGCAUGUUCAGAAAACCAGUUAGUAGUAACUUAGGACUUUGUCGAAAAAUAAGUCCACAAUGCUUAAGAGAAAUAAAUUUCCCUCAUUGUGAUAUCGUUUUUAUUAUUUUAUUAUUUAUAAUCAUCAAUCAACACUCG